rnacentral:rRNA from 1 species
UACAGAGGUCUCAAGCGUUGUUCGGAUUCAUUGGGCGUAAAGGGUGCGUAGGCGGCGCGGUAAGUCGGGUGUGAAAUCUCGGAGCUUAACUUCGAAACUGCAUUCGAUACUGCCGUGCUUGAGGACUGGAGAGGAGACUGGAAUUUACGGUGUAGCGGUGGAAUGCGUAGAUAUCGUAAGGAAGACCAGUGGCGAAGGCGGGUCUCUGGACAGUUCCUGACGCUGAGGCACGAAGGUCAGGGGAGCAAACGGG